GACGAACGCUGGCGGCGUGCUUAACACAUGCAAGUCGAACGAUGAACCCGGAGCUUGCUCUGGGGGAUUAGUGGCGAACGGGUGAGUAACACGUGAGUAACCUGCCCUGGACUCUGGGAUAAGCGUUGGAAACGACGUCUAAUACCGGAUAGGACCUUGGAUCGCAUGAUCUGGGGUGGAAAGUUUUUUCGGUCUGGGAUGGACUCGCGGCCUAUCAGCUUGUUGGUGAGGUAAUGGCUCACCAAGGCGUCGACGGGUAGCCGGCCUGAGAGGGUGACCGGCCACACUGGGACUGAGACACGGCCCAGACUCCUACGGGAGGCAGCAGUGGGGAAUAUUGCACAAUGGGCGAAAGCCUGAUGCAGCAACGCCGCGUGCGGGAUGACGGCCUUCGGGUUGUAAACCGCUUUUAGUAGGGAAGAAGGGCUUCGGCUUGACGGUACCUGCAGAAAAAGGACCGGCUAACUACGUG
rnacentral:rRNA from 1 species